rnacentral:rRNA from 1 species
UACAGAGGUCUCGAGCGUUGUUCGGAUUCAUUGGGCGUAAAGGGUGCGUAGGUGGCGCCGUAAGUCGGAUGUGAAAUUUCGGAGCUUAACUCCGAAACUGCAUUCGAUACUGCGGUGCUUGAGGACUGGAGAGGAGACUGGAAUUCAUGGUGUAGCAGUGAAAUGCGUAGAGAUCAUGAGGAAGACCAGUGGCGAAGGCGGGUCUCUGGACAGUUCCUGACACUGAGGCACGAAGGCCAGGGGAGCAAACGGG